ACUCAAAUGAAUUGACGGGGGCCCGCACAAGCGGUGGAGUAUGUGGCUUAAUUCGAUGCAACGCGAAGAACCUUACCUGGGUUUGACAUGCAUCUCUAAGGAGGUGAAAGCCUUCGAGGGUAGCAAUACCCAAUUUGCACAGGUGCUGCAUGGCUGUCGUCAGCUCGUGUCGUGAGAUGUUGGGUUAAGUCCCGCAACGAGCGCAACCCUUGUAUGCUGUUGCCAUGAUUACUCAUGGCUCUCUGCGUAGACUGCCCCGUGAAACGGGGAGGAAGGUGGGGAUGACGUCAAGUCAGCAUGGCCCUUACACCCAGGGCUGCACACGUACUACAAUGCCCAGUACAAUUCGAUCCUGACCCGCGAGGGCUGGGAAAUCAGCGAAAACUGGGCUCAGUUCGGAUUGCAGGCUGCAACUCGCCUGCAUGAAGCUGGAAUCGCUAGUAAUGCCGUAUCAGCUACGACGGCGUGAAUACGUUCCCGGGCCUUGUACACACCGCCCGU
rnacentral:rRNA from 1 species